rnacentral:rRNA from 1 species
CCUACGGGAGGCAGCAGUGGGGGAUAUUGCACAAUGGGGGAAACCCUGAUGCAGCGACGCCGCGUGUGGGAAGACGGUCUUCUGGAUUGUAUACCACUGUCCCCAGGGACGAAAAUGACGGUACCUGGGGAGGAAGCUCCGGCUAACUACGUGCCAGCAGCCGCGGUAAUACGUAGGGAGCAAGCGUUGUCCGGAAUUACUUGGUGUAAAGGGAGCGUAGGCGGGGAUGCAAGUUGGGUGUCAAAACUACCGGCUCAACCGAUAGUCGCACUCAAAACUGCAACUCUUGAGUGAAGUAGAGGCAGGCGGAAUUCCUAGUGUAGCGGUGAAAUGCGUAGAUAUUAGGAGGAACACCAGUGGCGAAGGCGGCCUGCUGGGCUUUUACUGACGCUGAGGCUCGAAAGUGUGGGGAGCAAACAGGAUUAGAUACCCUUGUAGUC